GCUGGCCUGGGCGGGCCCUCUUUGUCCCCGGCUUGUCACCGUGGGAACGCCCCUCCGCUCCUGCGCCCGGGAGACGCCUCUCGUCUCCCCCGACCCCGUUUCCAAGCACAACAGCAGCCCCGUCGCGGCCCCGCGCUGACCCACUUUCCCUGCCGCCUUCCAAGCCCGCGGUCGAGAAUAAACGGGCCGCGGCCAGGCAGAUGAGGCAGCUGAGGCACAGAGAGGUUAAGUAACCUGUCCAAGGCCACACAGCUGGUAAGCCAAGAUUUGAAACUGGCACUGGAUCCAAGAAGGAGCAAUGGCAGUGGUGGAUCAACGGCAGAAUUCUCGCCUUCCAUGCAGGAGACCUGGGUUGGAUUCCUGUGCUGGAAGAUGAACUCCCUUGGUUGAAAGGCACUCAAAAUACCAGUGGCCACAACAGUGGACUUGAGCAUACCAAUGAUGGAGAAGAUGAUGCAGGAUCAGGGUCACUGGGGCCACCCUGUGCCAGGAGCCUACUGGGAUGUCAGGGCAGGAACCACAGCAGGAGGAAUCCCUCUCCUUUCAAGAGUUGAAUCCACCACUUCAGCAAAGGUGGACAGAGCAAGGGCUGCUCAGUGCGAGUCACCCUCCCCCAUGAGAUAUGAGAUGAUGUCCUCCACUAAAACAAGCAAGUAAACCAAGACAGAAGAAGACCUGGGGUGUGGAAAGCAGGGAACCUAGCUCAGCAGAGAGGCCAAGAGAAGUCCCAAGGUAACAGUUUGUACCAUGGACCCAGACAGCAGCUCUUUAGACCUGAGCAGGAAGACAGAAGGCCCCAGGAAGGAGGCCUCCAACGAAGGGGGAGCUAUCUGAUUUUUAGAGCAGUUGAGGCAAUUGUUGGUAAGUGUUUGACAAAAAUAUGGAAGCAUUUGAGAAAAGUUAGCCCUAAGAACAUUGAAAUCUAAGUGAACAAUAAAAGGAGGCAUUUACUCCCAGUGGGGGAGGGGAGCAGAUUAUGAGAAAGAGAAAACCAAAACCAAACCAAACCCAGUGCCGUCGAGUUGAUUCCGACUCAUGAGAAAGGGAACGUAUUUAUAAUAACUAUUUGGUUCUACAGUAAUCAAUAUUUCCUAUUUAUGGUAAUGUAAACACUACUAAUUUAACCAAAAAUUAAAAUAUAAAGAUAUGUUAGGAUGAUGGAUGUAUUAAUUUCCUAGGCUGCUGUAAUGAAAUGCCACAAAGUAGAUGGCUUUAAACAACAGAAAUUGGUUGUCUCAUAGUUUUGGAGGCUGGGAGUCCAAUUCAGGGUGUCAGCAGAGCCAUGCUCUCUCCAAAGACUCCAGGAGAAGAUCCUUUCUUGCCUCGCCCAGCUUCUGGCGGCCCCAGGCGUUUCUUGGCUUAUAGACACAUCUUCACAUGGCUCUUUCCUCUCUCUUGCUCUCUCUGUGUCUGUUCUCUCUC